rnacentral:rRNA from 1 species
CAUAGAGUGCUUGCACUCUGAUGACGACCGGCGCACGGGUGAGUAACGCGUAUACAAUCUGCCUCAUACUAGGGGAUAGCCCAGAGAAAUUUGGAUUAAUACCCUAUAGUAUCUUUUAGAGUCAUCUCUUUAAGAUUAAAGGUUACGGUAUGAGAUGAGUAUGCGUUCUAUUAGUUAGUAGGUGAGGUAACGGCUCACCUAGACCACGAUAGAUAGGGGCCCUGAGAGGGGGAUCCCCCACACUGGUACUGAGACACGGACCAGACUCCUACGGGAGGCAGCAGUGAGGAAUAUUAGACAAUGGGCGAAAGCCUGAUCUAGCCAUGCCGCGUGCAGGAUGACGGCCCUAUGGGUUGUAAACUGCUUUUAUACAGGAAGAAAAAACUCUACGUGUAGAGUCUUGACGGUACUGUAAGAAUAAGGAUCGGCUAACUCCGUGCCAGCAGCCGCGGUAAUACGGAGGAUCCAAGCGUUAUCCGGAAUUAUUGGGUUUAAAGGGUCCGUAGGUGGACAAUUAAGUCAGAGGUGAAAUCCUGCAGCUCAACUGUAGAAUUGCCUUUGAAACUGGUUGUCUUGAGUCAUUAUGAAGUGGUUAGAAUGUGUAGUGUAGCGGUGAAAUGCAUAGAUAUUACACAGAAUACCAAUUGCGAAGGCAGAUCACUAAUAAUGUACUGACACUGAUGGACGAAAGCGUGGGUAGCGAACAGGAUUAGAUACCCUGGUAGUCCACGCCGUAAACGAUGGUCACUAGCUGUUCGGACUUCGGUCUGAGUGGCUAAGCGAAAGUGAUAA